rnacentral:rRNA from 1 species
UACAUGGGGUGCAAACGUUGCUCGGAAUUAUUGGGCGUAAAGCGCACGUAGGCGGUUUGUUAAGUCGGAUGUGAAAUCCCUCGGCUCAACUGAGGAAGUGCAUCCGAAACUGGCAAGCUUGAGUACGAAAGAGGGUCGCGGAAUUCCCGGUGUAGAGGUGAAAUGCGUAGAUAUCUGGAGGAACACCGGUGGCGAAGGCGGCAUCCUGGACCGAUACUGACGCUGAUGAGCGAAAGCCAGGGGAGCAAACGGG